rnacentral:rRNA from 1 species
UACGGGGGUGCGAGCGUUGUCCGGAAUCACUGGGCGUAAAGGGCGCGUAGGCGGCCUGAUAAGUAGGGGGUGAAAUCCUGCGGCUUAACCGCAGGGCUGCCUUCUAAACUGUCAGGCUGGAGCACAGUAGAGGCAGGUGGAAUUCCCGGUGUAGCGGUGGAAUGCGUAGAGAUCGGGAAGAACAUCAGUGGCGAAGGCGGCCUGCUGGGCUGUUGCUGACGCUGAGGCGCGACAGCGUGGGAGCAAACAGG